AGUGCACGGGGCCAGCCCGCCCCGCUCCGCAGGGGCAGAGGGGGAGGGGACGAAGUUGCCCGCCGCCAUUUUGCUUGUGGGCUGCCGCCCGCCGUUGCCUCUCCACGGAGGCUCGAAGACAGCCAACUGGAGGCAGAAAAGUGGGCAGAAUCUCCGUCUGUUUCACAACAGAUGCAUUCAACAAUUCAUCGAAGGUCUGGGAAAGUUUCGAUGUUUGGUGGGAUUGGCUCUCUAUCCCCUUUCCUUGAGUAGCCCUCAAGUCUGGAUAUCUGUGAGCUUGGGCGCGCCACUACUGGGUGGAAGGAUGACAGUAGGCCCUGGAAAAGACUCCUCUCCCUGCACCCUGCCUAAGCAAUGCAUUUUCUCCCACUCCCAAAACCAUCUCAGUCCCGGUCUUCCCCCCACCCCCCACCCCAGUCUGGCCUCCAGCGCAGGGUGAACUCGGUUGGGGUGUCACUCGACGCCCACUAGGGGCUGAGGAGGCUCCAGUGCGCAGGCUCCGAGCACCAGAUAAAAGCGGAGCUGGCGAGUCCAGCGCCGUCUCGAUGGAGGAGCGAGAAACGGAAGAGAUCGGGGGGAGAAGCAGCAGGAAAAAUACAGCCACCAUCAGCGCCGCCUCCCUGCCACCGUGUAUCGGGGUAAAAAGCUGCCGUUGCCGUCGGUGCAGUUGCCGUUGGUGCCUCCUACUUCUUUGGCCCCGGGGAAGGAUUUCCCCGCAGGCGGGACAAUGUGCGGGGAGGGGAGCGGGAAUUCCUUUUAUGUGGCGGUGAUUAAAUGAGGGAGGGACAGAGGUGGUUUUCUCGAAGAAAAUAAAGGGGAGGCCAAAGAAUAAAGGGUUUCCCCACUAAAAUGACACGGUGAUUCCGAUUUUUGUUUUCGGGGUCUUUCCCCGAAAUGGCGGUUUCCGUCUUCUCGCCCGACAGCGGCUGGGAGAGCUUAGUAAACGGAGUCCGGAGGCAGAGGCGGUCUAUGCAGCCAAUCAGUGCCUGAGGUAUUCUGUCGGGCGCGCCGUGAUUGGCUAGCGGUGACCUCAUGCUGCAGCAGCGGGUGGGGCCAGAGCGUCGGGGGAGGCUGUUGCAAAGGCAGAGAGAGAGAGAAGUGACGAUGGUGAUCGUUGCUGCCGCGGCCGAAUUGGAACACAAGCAGUGGCGAAGAGAAUCUCAAGGCUCUUCCCUGAGUAUUUUCUCCUGUCCCUGCGCGAGCAUGAUGCCGCUUCCAACUCCCCAGGGCCGUGGCGCACCCCGCUCAGACUGAACCUGGAGCAACCGCCGUCUUCCGGAAUGCCGGCAGCGGCCAGUUUACUGUGCUGUGUGCCGGGAGGAAGUGACUGCUCAUUAUUCGUGGUGCUCUGCGAGAGAGGCCAGAGCAAUCAUGUCCCUGCCAUGCGAAUGACCUGUGUUUGAAUUGAAUCCCCUGUCACCGCCUCCCAGCCGUGUUCAAAUUUAAAAGGUUACUUAAUUUCUGAGCCCCUCUAAUUUGUUAAUGAAUCAAAUGAGGUAAUACAUGCAAAGCGCUUAGAACAAUACCUGGCAUAGAGUAGCAGCUAGCAUAAAGGUUAAGUAAAAAUAAGGAAAAGUGAGAAGAAUUUAUCGAGCGUCUUUUUGCUCCAAGUAAUGUUAGUUGUGUUAGGUAUGUUAAAGAGUCUCCUUCCCCACAGGAAUGGCUUUCUCUACAUGAAAGAGCUGUUUGUCUAAUGGUUCUUUAGCAUGUUUGCCAGCUCCCAGGCAGCCUUUCAAGCUCCUAGUUCCUAAGGAAGUUUCUGCUCUUACCCAACUUGACUUGCCCCUUUUUGCAGAACUUUGUACUGGAUGAGUACCCUGUAGGGAUAGUGGACAAGACUAGGUUUGCUAUAAUUGUAGCGUCGUCAUGUUUUUAUUUCACAGGGAAAAUGGAGGCGAAUGAAAAGGGAGACAAGCCUCUUCCCAGGUGCAGUUUAGGCUGCUGCCUGACAGCAGGCCAUAACGCUUCCCAACUCUUGCCCUCUACCAUUUGGAACCAGGUGCCGGUAGGGGUAGAGUGGGGCAGUCUUGAAAAGGAGAAAGAUGCUUUUUUAUUUUUUAGUUGCGCUAAUGACUCUAGUAGUUACACUUCUUGUUAUAAUUUAUAAGGGACUGAUAGAGAAGCAUACAAGAGAUUAUCUUCCAACAAAAAAUGGACAAACUCCAAACUUGUGACUAACUCAUUCAUGAUCCACUGAGUCUUGAGAUGUUGAGAAAUAGAAUUUUUCCCUUCCAGGCUAAGUUAACUUCUUUUGAUUGAUUUCUGCAUUCCCAGCAGGACUCUUUAAGUCCUUGCCCCUUCAGACACUAUUCUCACUGACCAAUAACUGAGACUGAAUGAUACCUUCAAACACUAGUUCUUACUGUGGAGUGAAAUGACCUGUUCCCAACACUGGCUGAAGAGGUGGAGGUUCCCUAAGCUUUAGAACAUUUAACUUUUAUGUAAGUUAUACUACAAUAAAGAUGAACCGAAAAUGAAAUGAAAUAUUUACUAACAUAGAAAGAUGGGCAUCAUACACAGUUUGAGGAAAUCCCACGUUCAUGAUAAUACCAUUUUGUAAAAAAAAAAUUGUGUAUAAGGAUAUACAUCAAAAUGUUAGUAUUUCCUCUUUAUGUCUAGUUUUAAAAUGUUCUGCAAUGCUGAGGUAUUCCUCUUGUAAUAGUGGAAAAUAAGUUAUUUUGUAAAUUGUAACUUAUAAGAGAUGGAUAUUCUAUUAACUAACUCCUCAAUUUCCAUAGAAGAAAACAAAUAUUGUCAGUUUUAUAAAUCAAGAACUAGAAACAUAAACAUAUUUAAGAAUCUGGAGUUACCUCUAAAAGAUGUUGCUUCUUGAGGUUGAGGUCUUGUUCCUUUUCAUUUUAAGCUCCUAGAUAUGGAUGUGUGUGUGUGUGUAUCUUUAAUAAACGUAUGUUUUACUUUGCUAAAUAAAUUUUAUAAGAUGAAAUAUAUCUCAGUGUAAUUUUUAAAAAUUUAUUUUCAUCUAGGUUAUCCUACCCUUUCCAGGUCACUCUGUCCUUUUCCUUUACCAUUCAGCAGGCAGAGCAAAGAGAAAUUAAACACCAGCUGAAAGGCACUUUGAGUAACAAUCAGUAUCAAGUAGAGACAAACUACAAAUUGCUCAAUAUAAAGCACGAGGUUGUUUUUGUUUUUAAUUGAGGGACUAGAAAUACAGCUACUUAAUUAUCAUAAACUACGUCAUACUCUUUUGGGAUGGCCUUUUGGCUUGAAUCCAUUACUGAUUAUAUAUCGUAGCACUGUGGGAACUGCAUUAUCAAAAAAAGUUUUAGUUGCAGUUUGUGUAUUUGGCGCCCUCUAGUGCACUAUUUUUAAAUGACAAGAGCUUUGCUUGAUCCUUCCUGAGCUGCUCACUGGAAGAGGAUAAAAUGUCAAUUUCAAUCCACCUUCCCAGUGUGACUGAUCUUGCUUCUUUUUCGACAUCCAAAGAGACUUACCCGUCUCUGCACUUACACAUUAUUUCCUAGUCAUGACACUCACUAGGCUGUGACCUUACACUAACUAGUUCCUUAAUCUCUGGGCUUCAAUUUCCUCAUCUAUAAAAUGAUGAUAAUCCUAAGAACUAUAACGUGGAUGUCCACAUACAUAAUAGGAGCUCAGUAAUUGCUAGCUAUCUGUUUUACACUAUAUAGAUCCAGUCAAUACUAAACAUGCUUGAAGACAGUAAUCUUGACUCAAGUGUCAUAAUCUGCUAGUUGGGGAAUGUGAAAAAUGUUAGUGAGUAGCUAAAAAAAAAAAAAAAGAAUAAAGGCCUAAUUAUGAUUCUUUGGUCCCAUCUUACUGAGUCAACUCAUGCCAUUUCUGAAAUCUGGAAGCAUGUUAAAUUUCUUGGCAUCCUUCGCAGUGCCUAUAAUUACAUUCCCUUUAAGGAAUACUUGUCUUGUUUUAAUGUUCAAGGUACAUGGUUACAUGGUUGACCUUAGAAAAUAUAGAAGAUGCAGAGUGAUAGAAAAUAAUUGAAACUUCAAACACUUGGAUUCAAAUUUCUGAUUUUUGAGCAUAGGCUCCAAAGGCCUCUUUCUGGAUUAGUGUGGUUUCUGAACAGGUUUGGGCAGUAUAUGUGUUAGCAGUAUACAGAGUGAAAGCAUAAUUGACUAUGGAAUCCAUGUGAAUCAGGGUUUACAAAUCAGUGAGAGUAGUAGGUUCCAGAAUUCUCAUCCAUUCUCACCUAGUUCCAGCUUUGCUUAGGCAUAUGAGCUAGUUUACUCCUUCUGACCCACCUGUAGUUCUCUUCCUGCAUUGACAGACCAAGGCUUUGGUGCUUGACAUCACCAUGCCCACGGCUCCCCCAAAGCCCAGUUAUCUGCAGAAAGCAUUGAGUGCUUCUGACCCCCUGAAUCCCUUUGGAGUCUUUUUUUUUUUUUUUUAAGGGGGAGGUAAUUUGGUUUAUUCAUUCAUUUAUUUAUUUUUAGAGGAGGUACUGGGGACUGAACCCAGGACCUCAUGCAUGCUAAGCAUGUGCUCUACCAGAGCUAUAUCCUCAUCCCCCCUUUUGGAGUCUUUGUUUGGCCUUGUAUAUGGUAAGUGUCCCCAUGCUUAGUUUUCCUAUAUGCCUUGUAUUAGACAUGUCAGUAUUGUUUCUCUUCCCCUUGUACCAUUUCAGUGCUCGAUCAGAUUAAUUUUUCCUUAAACAUUCACCAGCUGGCCAUUUAGUGAGCUUCUAUUAUAUGUCGGGACACUAUGUUAAGCAUUUUACAUAUAUUACUUCUCACUCUCAAAACCACAGUCCAGUUAGGCAAAGGGUAUUUUCCCUAUUCCCAGAAGAGAAAACUGCUCUGUCACCCAGGUAAGUGUCAGAGCCAGACAUCCAACCCAAGUCAGCCUCUAGAGCCCAUGGCUUCAACACUGCAUCAGAAACACACAGAAUUUUGGAAAGUCUUCAGAAGUGCAAGGAGAAUCCUGCAGCUCCCUUCAGGCACUGGCCGUCAGUUCUGAGCUUCUUCCUUUCAAGACAGCCCACCUAACUAGCCCUGCCAUAAUGAUCAUUUCUACAAGCAAGAUGGCUCCCAUGUGCUAGGCACCUUACAGUCUUCAAAGGCUGGCUCAUGGGGGAAUCUCAUUUUCUCUUCCAGAAAGCUUUUUGCACUCAUCACCCACUGAACCUCCACGCUGGGGCAGCAAGUUCUGUCCUGGCACAAGAUUGCAGCUGCUAUUUACCCCCCAGAGGAUACAGUACACAUCCCAAGCUUUACAGCUGGGAACACUUUCAGAUCCGGCUGUGCAAGCACAGAAAGAAAUCUUGACAAAAGGGAGGGGUGUUCACAAGCGCAGCAGUCACAGCACACUGGGCAAUGAGCUCUCCCACCAGAAGCUGCCGAAGAACCAAAGGUUGGUCUUGGCGGGCAAAACCACAUCCACCAGUCAGUCCUUCAGUUAGCCAGGCCUCCCCAACACACGUGCGCGCUCACUUGGGCCAAGCGUGUGUUCUUCUAAUUGCUUUUCCUCUCUUUAGCUCUCUCCCUCCUUCCCCCUACUCCAAGGUCUUGUCCUUAAAAGCUUCCUCUAGGUUUACACCUUAACCUCCUUGUAGGAGCUCAGUGAACGCCAAGGCUUGUGUGGGUGGAAGAUUAUAAAUCAGCUGCAGACACAGGCAGGGGGAGGGGCUGCCUGGAGGGUGGAAGGGCCACAACUUGAAAACAAAUGAGCCUCUUUCAUCCCAGUGGGAUUUGUUGUUGUUGUUGUUGUUUUCUAAAGCCUGCUAUUCCAGCAGGGCACUUUACCAGAAGCUAUGGUUUCUGGAACUUUUAGAAAGCAGAAGUACUAACAACAGAAUUGCCCCUAUGUGUGUCCUCGGAAAGCGUUUCAGCCAAACUUGGGAGCCUGGAAAAUUUCUGUUGUUUACACAAGCCUAAAUUUCUCCCUUAGAAAAAUAGGUUUCACAUUUUUUGAAAAGUAGUUUAAAGCAUAACAUCAGCCACCAUUUUCUCCAGAAUUGAGGAGUUUCACAGGAUGACAGAAGGAGUCAGAUUUUAUAGAGCUGACUAAACAUAAUUUAAGAAAAACUAAGUCUUGUCCAUUGUCAAUUAUCUGUGCUGGUGGAGAGAAUCUAGAAACAGAAUUCUAAUGGGACUUCAAUACACUGUUCAUUUACAUUGGUUUUAUGAGGCAUUUUAGUCAUUAACGUUUUUAUAUGGGUGUGUCUGCAGUUCUGGAAAUUUACAACUGUUUACAGCAAAUAACAAAGCUACUCAGUGAAGAUGCUGACGGGGCUGGAAUGCUGUCAAAUGACUUUUCCAGCCUCUGGACCAACUCUGCCUAGUGAGGGCUGGAAACAAAAUGUGCUUUGGCCUUAGAUGAAGAAAGGUUUAAAUCCUGACGCUGCUGUGUGACUUUACAGAUUCCUUACUUGGAAAAAGGGGGAAAUGAAAUAUUACCACUGCCUUGCCCAUGGUAUCAGAGACUAACCUUGAAAGUUGUGAUAGAAUUCUCAAACACAAUCAUGAAGUGUCUCCAGCAUUCAGUCAGGUAUUGCUUUAAUCUGGAAGGAGCCUGGAUGAGUUACAAACUUCCCUGAGUAGAAUAGAGCUGCUAAUUAACGGGUUUGGAGGGCUUUGCCAACCUCUCUAAAUUAUGACAUUCUGUCUGUAGAUUAUAAAGGGGCUCAGUAUUACCCAGGAAAGACAUAGACCAGAGCCUGGCUUGAAUCUUGCCAAUGAGUAGCUCAGGAGGUGAGCAUAUGUUGUGAUCCUAACCUAAGAGCUGUCAGAAAGGUUCAGAAUUUCUCUCAAGUUGCUACCCUGUGGUUUUUCCUUAGUCACCUUAACUUAUUCUAUGUGUUAAUACAUGAUUGACUAUAAUUUUCAAUAAUUCAUUUGGAAUAUAUGUAUGUAUUUGUGUGACUGAAACAUUAUGCUGUACACAAGAAAUUGACACAUUGUAACUGACUACACUUCAAUAAAAAUAAAAUAAUCAUAAUAAUUCAUUUGAAUUCAUACUAAGUGGCAAAUGUGGCCUUGAAUUCACAAUGUUGCCUGAGAGGCGAGGUGGCAAGAAGGCUCAUAAAAGUAGCCCUCCCACACCACACCCCUGGCACCAUAUGCACAGGUUCUGAACUGGUGGGGGGGGGGGGUGCUGAAUAAGGCAGGACCGGUUGGUUAGUGUUAGGCAGGAACAACUGGAAAGUAAGAGCCCCGGUAUAUAUGAUCUGCUGCAUUUCUGCAGUUUCUUUACCAUCCUUAUCAUAUAUACAUGUCCUGGACUCACUCAAGGUAGAAUCAGGUUCUUGUGCCCACAAAUAAAAGAAAGCUUGACAAACUCAGUUGAAUGUUCUUUCCAAAGAGUGCAUUUGUUUUCAGGGGCAGGAAGUCAAGAGCAGUGUUCAACCAAACAUUUGGAUCUGGUAUUUCUUAGGAUAUGGGCUCACAAGUUAACAGAGAUGCUGAAAAACAUUGGUGGCUCAGCAUUGUCAGGGGCCCCAUUUCUGUCAUUGUGCUGCAAUGCUCAAUACAUGGUUUCUAUUUCAUAGUCCAAGAUAGCGGCUCCAGCUCCAACCUCAUAUCUACAUUCCCGCAAAAUUCUAUAAUUAUAGAAGAAAAGUACAGACUGGAGGACAACUAGCAGUUUUUGCCAUAAUUCCCUUCCUGUGGUUUUUCCACUCCCGACCUACUUGAUUCAUCACUGAAAGUUCUGAGCUAGAAGCCUACUGAAUUCUCUAUAUACAGAAAACACUGAAAACUAGGAGCAGUCUUACCCUAUUUUUUUUAGAUAGUAUUGGUAAUAUGUGUUUACUCUUGGGGGAAAGAAUAGAAAAUACAAAUCAGUAAGAAAUUAAGAACUAGCAUCAUAAGACUCCAUCCCCCAGUGAUAAUAACGUUAGAUUGUGAUGUCUUUCCUGAUAGACUUGCCUAAUACAAUUGUAGACAUAAAUAAAAUGGAGUCUUGGGGUGAUAAUUUACAUUACACAAUGGCAGUGAUGGUAAGUGGUCUCUAUUAUUGUGUAGGGUGAGGAAAGGACUUUAACUGGUCAUACAGUGGAAAGAGAAUAGAAAUUGGGAGACUUGCAUUUUAACCCCACCUCUUAAUUGACCCUGGUGUGACUGAGCAAGUAACAAAUUCUUAAUGUUUCUCUUUCUCUGUAGGUAAAAUAGAAAUUAUAUUUGGUUUUUUCAGUCCCCAUUAUAAAGAUAGUUAUGAGAAUCAAGUAUCCCUUCCUGUAUUCCUGUAUUGAGACAUGUUCCCUGCCCCCUUGGAGCUGAAUCCACCAAGUGAGGCACGUCAAAAUGUCGUGAGGAAGGACAGCUCUGACAUGUAUGUCAAGGGCUCCUAUCAAGGGGUGACCACCAACACUCACCGUCUUCCUUGGCCCUUCACUCCUCUCUUCAGACCUCCAAGUGUGGGAAGAGGUGGGAGAUAAAGUGGUCAGAUGGGGAAGGAGGUCUGCCCUGGUCAGGCUGCCAGUUUCCUCUCCCCUUCUCUCCUCUGAACCCAACCAGCCCUAACUCUACUACUACACACAUCAGCAUUUUCUGGUUUUUAUCUCAUCUCUGCUCCUCACUCCACCCUCUUGACUGGGAAGUAGGAAAAUUGAGAUUUGCAGAAGUUGGUAAAAACUCAUGUCAGAAGGCAGCGUUCCAUUUCUAGAUCCAAGAAAAACUUCCUGUUUUGUUAAGACCCUUCUUAGGAGCGGAAACUCUCUCACUCAGAAGAAAACCACAAUGAAUAAUUUCACUGAUUUGUACCAUAUGUUUAGCAAGCCUGAAAUCCCAAGAGGCGGCAGUGAAUCAGAAGAGAAACCAUCAGAAGGGAACUGUCACAUAGGCACCCCACCGCCAGCCAGGGCUCUUCCUCACCUCCCCCUUCACCACCUCCUGCAGGAAGAGCGCCAGCCUGUGAGUGGAGUAACUCGGGGCCCCGGGAGCAGAGGUAACCUGGCAGUGCCUUCGUGGCUGGUCCAGGACAGCACAACUCCCACUGCUCAUCCUUUCGCCAGACGGAUUUUCCCUUUUUCACAAAAGGAUCUAGAAAAGCAGCUGUAUUAGCCUGGACAGUGCUGCAGUAACAAGUGAAGCCCAGAAUCUUGGCCCAACACAAUGAAAGUUUAUUCUCGCUCUGAUAUUUGGAACUGAAUCACUGGAGUCUUAGGCCUCUACCGUCCUAGUGGGAGAGGAGGUACCUGGAGAAAACACAGGUGCUUCUGUGUGUCAGCCUGGAAGUGACAGGGGUCGCUUCUAUCUCAGUAGUUGGACACAACGCACUAGAGAAAGGCUGCGACUGAUGGAGAAGCACACAGAUACCUGGUGAACAAUCGAUGCUGCCGCCCAAGCAGCACCUGGAUGCCGGGUGCAUGCUGUAACAGGUAAUGACAGCUCAGAGCCCCAGACCAUCAUUUGAACCCAAAUCCACUGGGAUGUCUCAUCUAAAGGUCUUCCUUAUUUCCUGAGUGCCUAACAGGCAGCUCUGAGGUCAAAAACGGCCUACCCCAUUUACAGAGGGUUCUUCAUAAGAGUUUUAUGGGCACCACCUAUUUAUCUACCUAAUUAGCUAGUUCACAGAAACUGGUCGCUCUGUGUAGCCUCACCAUCGUCUGUGGAGGACUGACGUAGCUUUGUGUCCCUGGAAGCAUGGAUAGAUCAAUCUUUUGAAUCAAAGCUAACUUUCUAAAAGUCAUGGCAUUUUAAGCUGUUCACAUUUAAUUCCACAAAAAUGAUACCAUAAAACUGGAGGAUUGUCCUCUGAAGGAUUGUUGACCAAAAUUGUUCAAAAUAUGAUUCAAGCCUCCUCUUGCAGUUGACUCAUGUCUGACUCUUGUCCAAUGUUUUUAUGCCAAGGGAGGAUGCUCUGUAUUCACUAUCAUCAUCAAUUAAACAAACAUACAGCCCAUACAUGGAUGAUGGUGUGCUCUGGAAUGAACUUGGAUGCCCCUGCCAGGGGCGAGGAGUCACUUUCUAAGUCAGCUUAUCCAGGACUGGAGUUCCUCUGCCCUCCCCGCCUUGCUCCCUUCUCCUUACUCUGGGGACAUUUUGCCAUCCACCAAAAAGGCAAGAGAGAAGCAAAGGAAAUACAGCUCAUUUCGAAGCCGACUGACUUCACAGGGUGGUUCUCACUCGGUCUGUUUUCCUUGGCCUACUUUGGAGCUGUUUUGGGACAUAUGAGGUUCUUCAACCACAAGGCCUUUUCCAGACCUGAUUUCCCCUUGGAAUGACACAUUAUCCUCCCUUCAAAUGUAGCAAUUGUAAAUUCCUGCCUGGGGAGCAGCAAUUGUUUAGAAUUACACACUCUUUGGACAAACCAGUAUGGGAUUAACAAAGCCUUAUUGUUCUGCAAUCCUCUACUGAAACUUGCUACAGUAAUUUCUGGUGACAUUAUUUUUCCCUGCCUAGAUUUUGACUAUGCAAAGAACACUUUUCCAUAUGUUAAUUAGUCCUUUUCAGUGGUAUGUAAUAGAAACUUCUUUUUACCAUUUUGCCAACAAUGAACAGGACAAAAUAAUACUAUCAGGUUUUCUCACUUCACUCUUCUCUCCCCCUUUCACUCUCUGUCACAUUUACUCUAACUUCACAACUUAAAAAUUUCUCAGAUUUGUUGUGCCCCAAAUAUUACUUCAUAAUUGCUAUUUAUACAUGCAAGGACACACGCUGUACAACACAAUUUGGGAUUUGCUCCUUUACAAUAUGUGUAUAUGCUAUUUUUAAAACAGACUUGAGGAGCACAGAGUAAAAGCAGUGAUCACCCCUAGUUUGUGACAACUCAUUGCUGGUCGGGAAAUGCUAUUUUAAAUGUGUUUUUAUGAUGACUCAAGGAAACAAUUUACCUUUACUUUUUUCCACUUAAAAAAAAUUUCUCAUUCACUUUUAAUCAUCUGCAAAUAAAACUCAAUAACUAAGAAUAAACCUACCAAUAUUUACUUCCUAACCCAAAUUAUUUCUAACAGUACCAAAAGGCGAUCCCUUUACAAUGACAAAGUCUAAAGACAGGACUAUAAAAAUAUUGAGACAUUAUUUACCUAUAGAGUAGGUCUUUACAAAAGCUUUCUUCAGCAAAUGUGAAACCAAUAAAUCAGUGCUAGCUAUAAUGGAAUCUUCUCCAGCUGGUUUUAGGCCAGUUAAGUCUAAUAAAGUCAUGACAAUAGGAAGCUGACUUGAAACCAAAGUAACUACCAAGAACAUUUUGUAUUCCAUUAAUAGGUAAUGAAAGCCUGUGCACUGCUGAGUGGAAAUAUAAAUUCUGACUACUUAUUAUGUAAAACUUUGGGCCCACAUAACUAUCACUUCAAAAAACAGCUUACUUUUGCACAGCAAAGGAAACCAUAAGCAAAACAAAAAGACAACCUAGAGAAUGGGAGAAAAUAUUUGCAAAAGAUGAGACUGACAAAGGCUUAAUUUCCAGAAUACAUAAACAGCUUAUAGAAUUUAGUAAGAAAAAAACAAACCACCCAAUCCAAAAAUGGGCAGAAGACCUAAACAAGCAAUUCUCCAAUGAAGACAUACAAAUGGCCAAUAGGCACAUGAAAAAAUGCUCAAUAUCACUAAUUAUUAGAGAAACACAAAUCAAAACUACAAUGAGGUAUCACCUCACAGCAGUCAGAAUGGCCAUCAUUCAAAAGUCCACAAAUGAUAAAUGCUGGAGAGGGUGUGGAGAAAAGGGAACACUCCUACACUGUUGGUGGGAAUAGUUUGGUGCAGCCAUUGUGGAAAACAGUAUGGAGAUUCCUCAAAAAAACUAAAAAUAGAUUUCCCAUAUAACCCAGUAAUCCCAUUAUAUCCAGAGGGAACCUUAAUUCAAAAAGACACAUGCACCCCAAUGUUCAUAGCAGCACCACUUACAAUAGCCAAGGCAUGGAAACAACCUAAAUGUCCAUCAGUAGAUGACUGGAUAAAGAAGUUGUGGUAUAUUUAUACAAUGGAACACUACUCAGCCAUAAAAAAUGCCAUUUGCAGCAACAUGGAUGAACCUGGAGAAUGUCAUUCUAAGUGAAGCCAGAAGGAGAAAGAAAAAUACCAUAUAUCAUCACUCAUCUGUGGAAUCUUAAAAAAAAAAAAAAGACAAAUGAACUUAUUUACAAAACAGAAA